AAAUCUUUGGCACAAUGGUGGAGC
rnacentral:piRNA from 2 species